AAAGCAUCAACGUUUGGCAAUCUCAAAAAAACCGCAAACGCAGCUUUUCAAAUUUAUGUAAAUUGAGAUAAAAAUUUUAGGAUGAUUUUGUGUUUAAUCUCUUUCCCACUGUUAUAAAAAAUGUCCAAACAGCAAAAAAGCUUUCUAGGUGAUAUUUGAGAUGAAAAAUACCAUUCGCUUUUUCGUAGCUCAUUUUCAAAACCAAAAAAAAAAACAGUUACCUACGUAAUUGGUAAAAAUAAAAAAAAAUCCAACACGUAAAUUAGGUAAGUUCGAAGUACAUCCAUAACGAGUAAUGAAAUGUAUAAAACAGGCGGGCUUCAUUAAACGAAAUAAAAAAAAUCAUCAAUAUUACGCUUCAUAGUCUCUGAAAAUUCAACAAAUAGCUGAUUAUCCUUCCGUCGAUUAACAGUUCAAAUAAUUAUCAGUUAAAUGAUAAUACAUAUUCUCUAUUUAGGCUACCUUUACCUACCAAAAAAAACCCCAACCAGAAAUAACACCAUUUGAUAAAUUGAAUUUGCAUUCAUUCGCGGAAAAGAAAAAGGACAAACAAGAUGGAUUUAUCAUCAAUUUGCAAGUUGAUUAUCCAAUUACUACAUGUAUACGUUUUGGGAUUUACUUGUUAAUCUUCGAUUGAUUUUAAGGCGUAAUUUUUUCUAAUUAUAAAUAUGAAAAUAUUAACGAAAAAUUGCACACACAGAUUAAUCGUUGUCCAAUUCGAAUAGAGUGAAGUUGUCAGUUGUAUAACGUGGAAAUUUUUAUUGUUUCAACCGUACCUACCUAUCUACCUACUUGUGAAGUUCUUUCAUCUUACAAUGAAACUAGUCAUCUUAGCAUUGGUUUGUAUCGCGGUGUCAUUGGCUUCAGCCCGCCCCCACAACUGUAACCACCAUCAGGCCAAAUCCACAACACCACCCACUUCAACGGAGAUCGCCACAGAACCUUCAACCGUUUUCGCGUCUGUACAAGAACCCGAAGGAGCAACAGGUGAUGAUGAACAUCCUGCUAUUGACGAACGUAUUGGACAUGACCAGACAACCAAAACACCCCAAAAAUUCCUUCCGUAUUGAAGUUAUUUGAACUGAGAUACCAGUAAAAUCAAGGAAGCGUGAAUCAGGUUUAGUCUAGGUGCUCAGAAUAGGCAAUAAAACAACCAGCUGAUUGAAGAAUUUUUUGUACGAUGAUUUUUCAAGUGAUUGUACCAUUGUAGGUUUAAUAGUUACUCGAUAUAGCUAUAUUUUUUAAUUAGUCCCAUUUGUAAUAAUUUCAGUUACUUAAUAAAUAAGUAUCAUGUCUAAUUCAUUA